AUUGAACGCUGGCGGCAGGCUUAACACAUGCAAGUCGAGCGGAGAGAAGUAGCUUGCUACUGAUCUUAGCGGCGGACGGGUGAGUAAUGCUUAGGAAUCUGCCUAUUAGUGGGGGACAACAUUUCGAAAGGAAUGCUAAUACCGCAUACGUCCUACGGGAGAAAGCAGGGGAUCUUCGGACCUUGCGCUAAUAGAUGAGCCUAAGUCGGAUUAGCUAGUUGGUGGGGUAAAGGCCUACCAAGGCGACGAUCUGUAGCGGGUCUGAGAGGAUGAUCCGCCACACUGGGACUGAGACACGGCCCAGAAUCCUACGGGAGGCAGCAGUGGGGAAUAUUGGACAAUGGGCGGAAGCCUGAUCCAGCCAUGCCGCGUGUGUGAAGAAGGCCUUAUGGUUGUAAAGCACUUUAAGCGAGGAGGAGGCUACUUUAGUUAAUACCUAGAGAUAGUGGACGUUACUCGCAGAAUAAGCACCGGCUAACUACGUGCCAGCCGCCGCAGUAACAC
rnacentral:rRNA from 1 species